AGAAGCUUGCAGAGAUGGCGUGGAGUUUCUCCCAAUUUGCACUGGUAUACCUUCCAUGCCAAUUCAACUGAAACGCAUUUUGUUGGUAAAUAUGUUCGAUAAUAUAAAAGACCUUAAACAAGUUUCUAUUUUCAUACUUGCUGGCUUUACUAGCAGAACCAGCACAUGCCUAUAUUCAGAGUUGCACCUAAAAGCUGUUCUAUUUGAAUUUCGUAAUGUUCAGUUGAACUUUGUUUCCUGAUUGUUUGACUACUAUCCAAUGAAAUUGAAACAGGAUCUUAUGUUUUAUUUUUUUAGACCUUAGUCUAAAAAAGUCAGAAACAAAGUUAAACUCAACAUGCACUAAUGCACUAUGAUAGCACACACAU